UCCUACGGGGCGCAGCAAUGAGGAAUAUUGGUCAAUGGGCGGGAGCCUGAACCAGCCAAGCCGCGUGAAGGAAGAAGGCGCCAGGCGUCGUAAACUUGUUUUGUCGGGGAACAAAGGGCGCCACGCGUGGCGUUGUGAGUGUACCCGAAGAAAAAGCAUCGGCUAACUCCGUGCCAGCAGCCGCGGUAAUACGGAGGAUGCGAGCGUUAUCCGGAUUUAUUGGGUUUAAAGGGUGCGUAGGCGGUCCGGAAAGUCAGCGGUAAAAGCCCGUGGCUCAACCCCGGCGCGCCGUUGACACUGUCUGA
rnacentral:rRNA from 1 species